rnacentral:rRNA from 1 species
AUUGAACGCUGGCGGCAGGCCUAACACAUGCAAGUCGAACGAGUGGCGGACUGGUGAGCAAUUUCUGGGAAACUGCCUGACGGAGGGGGAUAACUACUGGAAACCGUAGCUACUACCGCAUACCAUCAGAUGUGCCCAGAUGGGAUUAGCUUGUUGGUGGGGUAACGGCUCACCAAGGCGACGAUCCAUAGCUGGUCUGAGAGGAUGACCAGCCACACUGGGACUGAGACACGGUCCAGACUCCUACGGGAGGCAGCAGUGGGGAAUAUUGCACAAUGGGCGCAAGCCUGAUGCAGCAAUGCCGCGUGUGUGAAGAAGGCCUUCGGGUUGUAAAGUACUGUCGGCAGGGAGGCGUUACCCGCAGAGGAAGCACCGGCUAACUCCGUGCCAGCCGCCGCGGUAAUAC